CUGGCUCUCUGAAGAACAUUGUCCCUGGAGGAAGACGUCCUGAGGAACCUCGAAGUGGUUUUCUUCCUGUUAUUCCUGGAAAUCGGUCUUUAGUUGCUGCUCCAUCUUCUGCACAAGUUACCCAACGCACACGUCAUUGAAAGCAACAGACUGCGGGUGUCACAACCAUGAACAGGAACAGGAAAUAGAUCUGGAUGUGAGAAAGCCACCACCACCACACCUUCGAGAUGCAUAAAAUGGGCCAACAGUUCAAUGGAAUUAUACCAUCAAAUUCCAUCAUGGGGAAAUAUACCAUCAAAUGCCAUCAUGAAGAAAUAUACCAUCAAAUACCAUCAUGAUGAAGCAGACUGGGC